AGUGAACGCUGGCGGCAGGCCUAACACAUGCAAGUCGAGCGGCAGCGCGGGGCAACCUGGCGGCGAGCGGCGGACGGGGGAGGAAUGCAUCGGAAUCGACCUAGUUGUGGGGGAUAACGUAGGGAAACUUACGCUAAUACCGCAUACGACCUACGGGUGAAAGUGGGGGACCGCAAGGCCUCACGCGAUUAGAUGAGCCGAUGCCCGAUUAGCUAGUUGGCGGGGUAAAAGCCCACCAAGGCGACGAUCGGUAGCUGGUCUGAGAGGAUGAUCAGCCACACUGGAACUGAGACACGGUCCAGACUCCUACGGGAGGCAGCAGUGGGGAAUAUUGGACAAGGGGGGCAACCCUGAUCCAGCCAUGCCGCGUGUAUGAAGAAGGCCUUCGGGUUGUAAAGCACUUUUGUUCGGGAAGAAAAGCCGCCGGUGAAUAUCCGGUGGUGCUGACGGUACCGAAAGAAUAAGCACCGGCUAACUUCGUGCCAGCCGCCGCCGUAAUAC
rnacentral:rRNA from 1 species